rnacentral:rRNA from 1 species
UGGGGAAUAUUGGACAAUGGGGGAAACCCUGAUCCAGCAAUGCCGCGUGAGUGAAGAAGGCCUUAGGGUUGUAAAGCUCUUUCGCCCGCGAAGAUAAUGACGGUAGCGGGAGAAGAAGCCCCGGCUAACUCCGUGCCAGCAGCCGCGGUAAUACGGAGGGGGCUAGCGUUGUUCGGAAUUACUGGGCGUGAAGCGUACGUAGGCGGAUGCGCAAGUUGGGGGUGAAACCCCGGGGCUUAACCUCGGAAUUGCCCUCAAAACUGCACGUCUUGAGACCGAGAGAGGUGAGGGGAAUUCCUAGUGUAGAGGUGAAAUUCGUAGAUAUUAGGAAGAACACCAGUGGCGAAGGCGCCUUACUGGCUCGGUACUGACGCUGAGGUACGAAAGCGUGGGGAGCAAACA